rnacentral:misc_RNA from 1 species
GCCAUCUCUUUCAGUCACAAUCCUAUAAUAAGAAUAUUGUCAGAAGGAAGAAGAUUUAUUAGAAUGAAAAGCAAAAAAUAGAACAAAAUAUAGCACCUAAUAGUUUUUACUUACUUUGACAUAGAUCUAUUGGCCAUAGCCUACAAUAGAGCCUAUCUUUCCAUUAAGAAGAUUAAUGAAAAUUUAUAGAGAGAGGAAAAGGGAUCUCUACAUGGUAUCCAUUGACCUAAAGAAGGCAUAUGAUAGGUUUUAUCAUCCAUAAGAAUGGAGUAAAAUAUGAAAAUGUAACUCAUGGGAGUGCAAUGCGUGUGCUAUGCUUCUGUAGGAUAGAAAUAUGGUCAAGCUAAAUAUAUUGUAUGUGAGUGAAUAUUGGACAUUUAAAGUAUGACUUAAACUCAAUUUCACCCCUGUACUUAUUGAGAAAUUCAAUUUAGUCCAAUUUCAACAUAUUGUCCAAAUUAGCCAAGAAGUUUCAAUUUAAACUGAAUUUAGCCCAAAUCAAGAAAUUAAGAUUCUUGAUUUUUGGGUUUCAAUCAAGAAAUUUAGCCCCCAAAAAUUUAGCAAUUGAAUUACUUAAUUUUUUUUAUUUAAAUCAAGAAAUUUAGCCUAUAAUUUAGCCUAAAUUGAGAUUAAAUUCAGGCUAAAUUGAGAUUAAAUUCAAACUUCUAGGUUAAUUUGGAUAAAUAGUUGAAAAUGUGCUAAAUUGAACUUCUCCAAUAAGUACAGAGGCGAAAUUGAAUAUUUUGCUUAUAAACUACAAGUGUACAACAUAUCCACAAGAUGAAUGUAGCAGAGAUUCAAAUGUCACGAAUGAAUGUUUAGUAACAUGAUAAUGAAUAAGAUAAGGGAUGAAUAUAUCCACUACAGAGUGUAUAUAGCACACAUUACAGAUAAAAUGAGAAAGAGGGUCAAUUAAGAUGGUUUGGUCAU